rnacentral:rRNA from 1 species
AUGGCCUCCGUGGACCUGCAACGCCUGCGCCACAUGUUACUCACCACCGGCGCCGGCGGAGGCCACCACCAGCUCGCCUCCGCCGCUGCUAUGCCAAAGAGUGGGCCUUGUUAUGGCGCUGCGGUGCCGAGCCAGCGGCAGCACCAGCCGUACGCGGACCACUUCACGCUGCCGCCGCCACCGACGACGUCGCCGGCCGCGGAGCAGUAUUUGGAGUUCUUGCCGAUGGCCUCGGCUGAUCUGGCGAAGAAGGGCGGCAGCCCCGACGGUGCUCAGGAAAUGAUCACCAAGAAGCGGAGGCGCGACGAGCAGUCAUCGGUGCUCGGCGCGGCCGACGUUCUUGCGACCCACGCGCAGCAGCAGACCAUCAACGUCGACCGCAUCCUGCUAAAACAUGUUGAAUUAUGA